rnacentral:lncRNA from 1 species
AACAGCCUCAACAACCGCAGAAUCCUGGUGGUCCUGCACCUCCAGCUGAUGGGACUGCUUACAAUUACAGCCAACCACCUUCCGCUGGUUAUAACCAACCGGGACAGGGAUAUUCUCAGGAUGGCUAUGGUGCAUAUCAACAACCUCCACAAUCAGGAUAUGCUCAGCCAACAUCAUAUGAUCAGCAGCAAGGCUAUGGGUCAGCUCAAGAGGGCCAAACUACCACCAACUAUGGAUCACAAGGACAAGGGGAUGCAACCCAAGUUCCACCUGUCCAACCUUCCCAACAAGGUUAUGGCAGCAGCCAACAGCCUAGCCCAAACGCUGCUAAGUAUCCACCACAAGGGGCUGCUCAGCCAAGUUAUGGGGUACCACCAACCUCCCAAACUGCAUAUGGCAGUCAACCUCAAACACAGUCUGGUUAUGGACCCCCUCAAACUCAAAAGCCAAGUGGUACUCCACCUGCAUACGGUCAAUCACAGUCACCUAAUGCUGCUGGAGGCUAUGGUCAGCCGGGGUAUCCUCCUU